GGUUUUAGGCAAAACCUGUCUGUAAGGGUGUGACGAGCCUAGAUAGGUACUUAACCUCUAAUUCGAUAAGCCGUCAGUGUUCGAUAGGGUACUGAUUGUGAUGACGACUAGAAAGUCAGCAGGUGGAAGCAUCUGUGCGUGGGUUAGGUAGCCUCAUAUACAUGAACGACUGAUGUAGAGUUCGAUUGGGGAGAUAAGUAUCUAAUGCGUGUCAUUAGGUCACCUCGGUAUGACUAGGGUGAGAGCUAGGAACCGUAGGGGUGUUCUCAAAGGAAUCCUUUGCAGUGACGUCCUCGUAAGUGGACUAUAACAGUAGAACUCGUAUUAGUAGCCUAAUACUGCAGCCCUUUUGGGGUUUGUUGUCCAUAUAGUUUAAGAUGGAAACAUAUUACAAGAUAUUUACUCUUGUUAGGUGAAAGUUGAUGGUCGCCAAGCCAGUCCGUACAUCCAAAAAGGACUCUAUUUAGUAGGAAGUCGAGAGCCUAUGAGAGUUAGAGUCGGUACGAAACAUCUAUUGUCUGCAGUGUAUGUGUUGGUAGGGCUAAAAACCCUUGCCUAUUU
rnacentral:sRNA from 12 species